AUGAACCUUCGGGGUUGGGUGCAAUUCCCUACCGGCGGUGAGGAUACAUGUAUGCAUGUAUCUCCAGCCCGCGACUCCUGGCCAGUAAUGGCUGGGACUGACUUGGUGUAAUUCCAAGGCCGACGGUAUAGUCCGGAUGAGAGAAGGUGAAG
rnacentral:ncRNA from 2 species